CGAAGUUGAAGAUCGCCAAAAACUUCAAGGAAGUACAGCCAAAAGAAGUUGACAUUUGUGUGCAAGGGAAUACAAACUUGAAGGCAUUCUCCCCCCAUCUGUUCAAAUUUUUCCUAUAAACCCAGGCUAUUUUUUUUUACUCUUUUUGUUCUCUCUCUGUGUUUUUGUUACUUGGUUUUUGCAACGUGCAACACAGAAACAGGGAAGCAGUAGUUCAAACUACGAGCUAAGCAUUCAGUGCGCCCAAAGGGAAGUACAAAGAAGUUUGAUGUGUGAGAUGCCAUAGCCCCCAAAAGCAGUUGAGGAGAUUGUUGAUUUGACAACACCUGAAGUUCAAAUGUCAACUGGGUGGAAUCACAGGCAAACUUGCUACUCACCAUGCAAAAAUAAUAACGAGUACACAGCCGAGACUCCCCCACUCAAAAUGAAGAAGGACUACUCCAUGGUUCCAAUAAUAGGAAAAAGGUUAUUUGCAGAGGAGGAAAGCUGUCAACAAGAAUCCAGUGGCAGCAAAAGGAAUCCAGUACAACUAAUGGAAGAAAAAACUUCAGGACAACUCAAAAUUCAUGGAGAAAACAUGUUUAGGCAAGAGCGCAGCACAUUGGUCAACAUAACUGAUGAUUUUUACAACACAAAUCUCUCGUUAGGAAGGCCAAGCAGUUUCAGUGGAAAAGAAAAUGCACCACCAAAGAGGAUUGUCCAACCAAGCAGGUACCGUAGCUCACCGUACGACUGCAGCAAAAGGGGCCCAAUAAUGCCACAUGAGAGAAAGAUGUAUGAGAACAUAACAUCUCUGGCCAAUGUUGAAGGAUCCAAACCUGCAGUUUUGAUUGACAAAACCAUUGCCACAUUUGGACAGUUGGGUAACUCGAUGAAAAUAGGUGGCCGGGUCCAGGCCUAUGUCAUAAAUGUGUACUGUAGGCACCUAUUUAAUGAAAAUCAUCCUAGGAACUCACUCAAGCACUAUUUCUUCCACACUGCAUUUGAAUAUUUCCUGGGCAAAUGGAAAAAUGAUGAGGCAAGAAUUUGGUGGAGGAAGAAACUGAUUACGAGUUUCAUUGGAGCUGGAAAAACACAUAAUCUUUCGAUGUCAGACAAGUUGUACUUUCCAACACUACACGAGGAACAUUACUUUCUGUUCGUCGUUGACAUCAAGGGUCACAUGUUUUAUUUUCUAGAUUCUUUCUACGAUGAGAAGAGCUCAUAUCAUAUGAACAUAAAAAAGAAGAUUAUCUCAAGCUUUAUAUGCACUUGGUACGAAGCUCGGCUCCAGCCAAUGGAUUUCAAUGCAUUCCCUGCUGUUUACCCUAAAGUCCCUCAACAAGAUAACGAUAUUGAUUGUGGCAUUUUCACUAUGAAACUAAUGGGAUGGUGCCCAAGGAAUCCAACCCCUAUAGUUUUUUCACCAAAAGAUGUCCCAGAUGCAAGGAUCUGAUAUGCUGUUGAUCUCAUGUUCAGCCACUACAACACUUUGGAUGACGAGAAGAAGCGUGUGAAGGAGUUCCGCCUAUAGACAUGAAAAAGUGCUGACAGCUCCUAAAAGACACCACUCAUAGAUGAUAAGAGGAGCUGUAUCAAGAGUCAUAUGUGAACACACAAUGCUACAGUCAUAUAUAUGUGAACACAUAAUGCAAAUAUGAUUCCUUGAAAGAGAAGGGGCGGGGGGUAAUAUAUAAAAUACCCAAGAAAGUUGCUGCUGCCACGCUGUUUGAAGAACAAGGGGUUGUUGGUAUUUCUGUGGAUGGUUGGAGAUUCAAAAAAAUCUCAUACAAAACUACUGAUGAUGGCCGCAUUGUGUUUGGCAGCAAGAAGUGGAAAAACUUCACAGCUAGCAGAGGACUCAAAGUCAACACAGCUGUUCUUAUUGGCUUCAAGAGCAGCGAGAGGGAUGAUGUCCAUGUCCUGGUUAUCUUGAAGAAGCUUGGCUAGGCACCAGGCACAGCAACUGAUGACAAGCAGAGCUGCGUCUAUAAUACUCAUCUGUUGGGUAUUCUAUAUAUUUCUGUGUCGAAGUCUGUAUGACAAACCUUUUUUCAUUUUUAUGCCAUGUUGAACCUGCCAGUGUAGUUUUGCGUUUCUUAUGUGUCCACCAAACAAUGCGGCUUGAAUAAUAUAUGAUGGGAACCCCUUUUUCUACAUUA